AUUGAACGCUGGCGGAAUGCUUUACACAUGCAAGUCGAACGGCAGCACGGACUUCGGUCUGGUGGCGAGUGGCGAACGGGUGAGUAACAUAUCGGAACGUAUCCAAUAAUGGGGGAUAACUAAUCGAAAGGUUGGCUAAUACCGCAUACGCCCUACGGGGGAAAGCUAGGGACCUUCGGGCCUGGCGUUAAUGGAGCGGCCGAUAUCUGAUUAGCUAGUUGGUGGGGUAAAGGCCCACCAAGGCGACGAUCAGUAGCUGGUCUGAGAGGACGACCGGCCACACUGGAACUGAGACACGGUCCAGACUCCGACGGGAGGCAGCAGUGGGGAAUUUUGGACAAUGGGCGCAAGCCUGAUCCAGCCAUUCCGCGUGAGUGAAGAAGGCCUUCGGGUUGUAAAGCUCUUUCGCAAGGGAAGAAAACUUACCCUCUAACAUAGGGUGAGGUUGACGGUACCUUGAUAAGAAGCACCGGCUAACUACGUGCCAGCAGCCGCGGUAAAAC
rnacentral:rRNA from 1 species